GGCGCUAUAGCCAAGUGGUUACGGCGACAGAUUUGAACCACAUUAUCUGUUCCUCUUUGAGGGCGCAGGUUCGAACCCUGCUGGCGUCG
rnacentral:tRNA from 1 species